rnacentral:ribozyme from 1 species
AUGAAAGCACACGUCAAAGAAGAAGAAAAAAAGAGAAAUUGGAAAAGGAAUACACACAUUCUCUUGAUCUUGAAGAAAAAUUAUGAAUUCCUUGCUUUCUCCUGAUCCGUCUGCAGACGAAAUUGAUCAGGUCGCAAGGAAUUCAUUUUUCUUCAAGAAGAGAAUGUGUUAUCUGGAGAUUUAAAAUUUUCCUUUACAAUUUUAUUUAAUGAUGGCAUUUCUCUUCGAGGCAUCAUUAAAAAGGAAAAUUGUAAAAAGGAAA